AAUAGAUACCCCGGUAGUCCACGCCGUAAACGAUGAAUACUAGGUGUCGGAGGGUACCACCUUCGGUGCCGCAGCAAACGCAAUAAGUAUUCCGCCUGGGGAGUACGGUCGCAAGAUUAAAACUCAAAGGAAUUGACGGGGACCCGCACAAGCAGCGGAGCAUGUGGUUUAAUUCGAAGCAACGCGAAGAACCUUACCUAGACUUGACAUCUCCUGAAUUACUCGUAACGGAGGAAGCCCUUCGGGGCAGGAAGACAGGUGGUGCAUGGUUGUCGUCAGCUCGUGUCGUGAGAUGUUGGGUUAAGUCCCGCAACGAGCGCAACCCUUAUUGUUAGUUGCUACCAUUAAGUUGAGCACUCUAACGAGACUGCCGCGGUUAACGUGGAGGAAGGUGGGGAUGACGUCAAAUCAUCAUGCCCCUUAUGUCUAGGGCUACACACGUGCUACAAUGGCCGGUACAACAAGAUGCAAUCCCGUGAGGGGAGCUAAACUCAAAAGCCGGUCCCAGUUCGGAUUGUAGGCUGAAACUCGCCUACAUGAAGUUGG
rnacentral:rRNA from 1 species